rnacentral:rRNA from 1 species
CGAAAGAUAGGUGAGAAUCCUGUCCACCGAAUGACUAAGGUUUCCUGGGGAAGGCUCGUCCACCCAGUGUUAGUCGGGACCUAAGGCGAGGCUGAGAAGCGUAGUCGAUGGAUAACAGGUUGAGAUUCCUGUACCAGUAGUAAUGCGUUUGACCGAUGGAGGGACGCAGGAGGCUACCAGAAGCGCACUGAUGGAUAUGUGCGUGCAA